GGGACGGGGAUGGGGGCCCCGGGAGUCCUCAGACCCCUGAACCACCUGCUUCUGCUGUUGCUGCUACUGGAGGAGUCGCGGGGGUCUCGCGCUGGAACCCACACUCUCCGCUACGACCUCGUGGCCCUGGCCCCGGGCAGGCCUGGGAAGGCCCAGUUCCUGGCGCUGGGAUACUUUGAUGAUGAGCUCUUCAUGCGCUAUGAUGACGAGAGCCGCAGGGCGGAACCCCGGGGUCUUGGGAUCAGGACAGAGCUGCGAGCUGAGACCUGGGAGAGAGAGACUGAGGACCCGAUAGAGAAGGAACGGCAACUCAGACUGACGCUGGCAGAGAUCAUGGGCCAGCAGGGCCAGGGCCAGGGCCUUCAUUCCCUCCAGGCCACACUGGGCUGUGAGCUCCAGAGAGACCCAGCACUAGAGGCUUCUGGCGCUUGGGCUACAAUGGGCAAGACAUCCUCACCUUCGACUCAGAGACCCUCACAUGGACGGUGGAUGCACAUUCAGCCCAGCACAUCAAGAAGCUGUGGGAGACCCGAGGCCCCAGGGCUGACCUGGCUAAGAUUUUCCUGUAUGUGACUUGUCCUGCCCAACUCUGGAGGUACCUGGCCUCCUGGAGGGGCCUCCUGGAGAAAACAGUUCCCCUGUCCGUGACUGUGACCCACAGUAAAAACCUGGUGGGCAGGAUCAUCCUGAGGUGCCGGGCUUUUGGCUUCUAUCCUCAAGAUGCCACUCUGACCUGGCUUCUGGAUGGGGAGCCCAUGCACCAGGGCACCUUUGGGCCUAGGGCCAUCCUGCCCAGUGGGGACGGGACCUACCAGACCUGGGUGGCCACUCGGAUCUCCCCCAGAGAGGAGCAGAAUUUCGCCUGCCAUGUGGGACACCACAAGCUGAACAUCACGGUCCCUGUAGUCAUUGGGCCUCAAGGUCGGAGGGCUGUCCAUGAUGCUGCUUCUGCUGCUGCUCCUCUCACUGUGUCCGCUGUCGUUGCUGCAUUGUGUUUGGUGGUGCUCGAAGCCUAGACAAGGAAGGACACGGAGGAUGUGAGAGCCCAGAUGGUGUGGCCAAAAUUAAGAGCUCUGUUUAACAGCCUUAAAAUUUAAGAAAACCUUUUUUGGGGGCUGGUUGGUGGCAUAGCAGUUAAGUGUGCAUGUUCUGCUUCAGUGGCCCACGGUUCACGGGUUCACAUCCUGGGUGUGGACACGGCACCACUUGUCAAGCCAUGCUGUGGCAGACGUCUCACAUAUAAAGUGGAGGAAGAUGGGCACGGAUGCUAGGUUAGGGCCAGUCUUCCUCAGCAAAAGAGGAGGAUUGGCAGCAGAAGUUAGCUCAGGGCUAAUCUUCUCAAAAAAUAAAAAGAAAGAAAGAAAG